rnacentral:tRNA from 1 species
UGAGGGAGUAGUCAGGUAGUUCAUCAGGCUCAAGACCCAAAGGCCACAGGUUCAAAUCCUGUUCCACAACCA